rnacentral:lncRNA from 1 species
GUAUCUUAUUUGAACAUGAAUCAUUUAUUAUUUCUAUUGCUUGAAUGCCUCGUAUCAUUUAAAUCGGACAGUUACUUACAGCGAUCUGUCAUUUGAACAAACACAUGAAGUAGGAUCAGGAUCUGGGAUUUCAUACAUUGUAUAACCCCGACCAAGUGCAACACGUCUCUUACCAUCUGGGGUAAUAUCUAACUGUCCUCUAAAAUAUUUUCAAUAAAUAUUAAUCCAUAUAACAAUA